AGUGAACGCUGGCGGUAGGCCUAACACAUGCAAGUCGAACGGCAGCACAGUAAGAGCUUGCUCUUACGGGUGGCGAGUGGCGGACGGGUGAGGAAUACAUCGGAAUCUACUUUUUCGUGGGGGAUAACGUAGGGAAACUUACGCUAAUACCGCAUACGACCUACGGGUGAAAGCAGGGGAUCUUCGGACCUUGCGCGAUUGAAUGAGCCGAUGUCGGAUUAGCUAGUUUGCGGGGUAAAGGCCCACCAAGGCGACGAUCCGUAGCUGGUCUGAGAGGAUGAUCAGCCACACUGGAACUGAGACACGGUCCAGACUCCUACGGGAGGCAGCAGUGGGGAAUAUUGGACUAUGGGCGCAAGCCUGAUCCAGCCAUACCGCGUGGGUGAAGAAGGCCUUCGGGUUGUAAAGCCCUUUUGUUGGGAAAGAAAAGCAGCAGGUUAAUACCCCGCUGUUCUGACGGUACCCAAAGAAUAAGCACCGGCUAACUUCGUG
rnacentral:rRNA from 1 species